UCCUUUUUUCAAUUUGCCGGCUGGAGAUAGGGGUGACCUGUUUCUCUUAUUUAUGAAGUUUAGUAUGUGUUUUUUUUCCCUUUACUUUUUUUAAAAAAAGUGUUACAAUCUUUUUGAGAUAAACGGCAGUCUGAAAAAGGGAGAAGGAGCUGAAAUGAGCGAGAGAUUCUUUCCGGCAGCCAAAAAAUGUGGACAUGGAUUACAAUUAGCUUCAUAUCCCCAGCGAAAGGGACAAGAAUGUCUGGGUGGGAAUCUAUGUACAGUAUUUGUAUCAUAUUUCAAUAUAUUUCUUUGCUAAAAUCCUGGUAGGGCAAGAGGUUCUGAAAGAAACUGAAUUUAUUUGAAAUGCUGUAAAUGAUCAAUUGUAAUUGACCACCCAGUUCUACACCCAGGAAAUUAAGAGGAUUUCCUAUAAACUGUAAGAUAAUUUUCUUUCUUUCUUUCUUUCUUUCUUUCUUUCUUUCUGGGAAAUGUACUUCUUUCAUCAGAAGGGAGGAUAUUAUGAAACCAGCGGAACGAAAAGAAAAGAAGGAACGUAAAAUAGAGGUUCCUAAUUAGAAUAAAAGGUUGUAAUAACGAAUUAGGAAUACAGCUGUUGGCUUGAAUCGUCGAAUCUUCGGAAAUCCGUUCCACUGAGUUGAUCGGAAAUUUAUCCCGUGGAAAAAUGAACAAGCGCAACAGAAAAGUAUUAACAUCGGAAAUCUUCGGGGAAAAAGGAAACAGUUGGAAUUUACUGAAUACGGUUGAGAAAACUCCCCGCAUGCAGUUGCGGGGCGAAAACUGUGCUACCCCAUGUAAAGAAGAGGGGAGUUAAAUUUUAGCUAGUAAGAAAGGAAUCGAAGAAAUAGACGUAAAACUGGAAGAAGGAGCCGAAGGCGCUGAUCAGGAGACAGAAACGAAACAGGCAGAAAUCCUGAUUUUGUGUCUUAUUUUUUUUCCCCUGGAGCAAAAUCGAAUUGGAUUUUGGAGUUAAACGGGGCGAGGCUGAGAAUCGGGACCUUUGAUUCCCACGGGAAAAUGAACCUUGGUUUUCUAACGUCUUCCCUCCUUCCUUCCCUCCCUCUGUUUUUGGAAUAAAAUUCCAGACGCCUUGGUUUAAUAUAUAUAU
rnacentral:lncRNA from 1 species